GUGCUCACUUCGGCAGCACAUACACUAAAAUUGGAAUGAUACAGAGAUUAGCAUGGCCCCUGCACAAGGACGACACGCAAAUCCGCAAAGCAUUCCAUACUUCU
ensembl:snRNA U6 U6 spliceosomal RNA